AUUGAACGCUGGCGGCAUGCUUUACACAUGCAAGUCGAACGGCGGCGCGGGGCAACCUGGCGGCGAGUGGCGAACGGGUGAGUAAUACAUCGGAACGUACCCAGAAGUGGGGGAUAACGUAGCGAAAGUUACGCUAAUACCGCAUACGUUCUACGGAAGAAAGUGGGGGACCUUCGGGCCUCAUGCUUUUGGAGCGGCCGAUGUCUGAUUAGCUAGUUGGUGAGGUAAAGGCUCACCAAGGCGACGAUCAGUAGCUGGUCUGAGAGGACGACCAGCCACACUGGGACUGAGACACGGCCCAGACUCCUACGGGAGGCAGCAGUGGGGAAUUUUGGACAAUGGGCGCAAGCCUGAUCCAGCAAUGCCGCGUGAGUGAAGAAGGCCUUCGGGUUGUAAAGCUCUUUUGUCAGGGAAGAAACGGCUGAGGAUAAUACCUUCGGCUAAUGACGGUACCUGAAGAAUAAGCACCGGCUAACUACGUG
rnacentral:rRNA from 1 species